rnacentral:rRNA from 1 species
AACAUUGGACAAUGGUGGCAACGCUGAUCCAGCCAUGCCGCGUGUUUUAAUAAGGUCUACGGACUGUAAAGCACUUUAAGUGGGGAGGAAGGGCUUUAGGUUAAUACGCUGAAGCUUUGACGACACCAACAGAAUAAGCACCGGCUAACACUGUGCCAGCAGCCGCGGUAAUACAGAGGGUGCAAGCGUUAAUCGGAAUUACUGGGCGUAAAGCGCGCGUAGGUGGUUCAGUAAGAUGGGUGUGAAAUCCCCGGGCUUAACCUGGGAACUGCUUUCAUAACUGCUGAGCUAGAGUGCGGUAGAGGGUAGUGGAAUUUCCUGUGUAGCGGUGAAAUGCGUAGAUAUAGGAAGGAACACCAGUGGCGAAGGCGACUACCUGGACUGAUACUGACACUGAGGUGCGAAAGCGUGGGGAGCAAAC